UGACAGGCUGUUGCUGGCCUCUCGGUUGUGCACGCCUUGUCUCAUCUUUAUCAUUUCUCCCACUGUGCACAUUUUGUAGACCCUGGAGUUCUUUGGAAUUAUUUUUUCGUGUUGGGACUGCUGUGCUUGAAAAGUCGGCUUUGCCUUGCAUCUCCGGGUCUAUGUUUUCAUAUAAUCUCUGUUUGGAAUGUUCCUAUAAUAAAAGUUAUAUACAACUUUCAGCAACGGAUCUCUUGGCUCUCGCAUCGAUGAAGAACGCAGCGAAAUGCGAUAAGUAAUGUGAAUUGCAGAAUUCAGUGAAUCAUCGAAUCUUUGAACGCAUCUUGCGCUCCUUGGUAUUCCGAGGAGCAUGCCUGUUUGAGUGUCAUUCAAAACUUCUCAACCACAUUGAAUGAUGUGGCUUGGAUUGUGGGGGUCUUUUUUGCAGGCUUUCUCAAGAAGGUCGGCUCCCCUGAAAUGUAUUAGUGGUAUCUGUGCUACUAUGGUGUGAUAAAUUAUCUAUGCCUUUGGUAUGCUGCAUGAACUGCUUCUAAUUUAUAUUAUGAAUUUGACCUCAAAUCAGGUAGGACUACCCGCUGAACUUAAGCAUAUCAAUAGGC
rnacentral:sRNA from 1 species